rnacentral:rRNA from 1 species
AGAGUUUGAUCCUGGCUCAGGAUGAACGCUAGCGACAGGCCUAACACAUGCAAGUCGAGGGGUAACAGGGGCUUCGGCCCGCUGACGACCGGCGCACGGGUGAGUAACGCGUAUGCAACCUGCCUGUAACAGCGGGAUAGCUCCCUGAAAGGGGAAUUAACACCGCAUAAGACCACGCUCUCGCAUGGGGACGGGGUAAAAUAUUUAUAGGUUACAGAUGGGCAUGCGCGACAUUAGCCAGAUGGUGGGGUAAAGGCUCACCAAGGCGACGAUUGGUAGCCGAACUGAGAGGUUGAUCGGCCACAUUGGGACUGAGACACGGCCCAGACUCCUACGGGAGGCAGCAGUGGGGAAUAUUGCGCAAUGGGGGGAACCCUGACGCAGCAACGCCGCGUGAAGGAUGAAGGUUUUCGGAUUGUAAACUUCUUUGAUGAGGGACGAAACAAAUGACGGUACCUCAAAAACAAGCCACGGCUAACUACGUGCCAGCAGCCGCGGUAAUACGUAGGUGGCGAGCGUUGUCCGGAAUUACUGGGUGUAAAGGGCGUGUAGGCGGGGGAGCAAGUCAGAUGUGAAAUACCGAGGCUUAACUUCGGGGGUGCAUCUGAAACUGUUUUUCUUGAGUGUCGGAGAGGAAAGUGGAAUUCCUAGUGUAGCGGUGAAAUGCGUAGAUAUUAGGAGGAACACCGAUUGCGCUGGCAGCACACUAAGUCAUUAUUGACGCUGAGGCACGAAAGUGUGGGGAUCAAACAGGAUUAGAUACCCUGGUAGUCCACACUGUAAACGAUGAUAACUCGCUGUCGGCGAUACACAGUCGGUGGCCAAGCGAAAGCAUUAAGUUAUCCACCUGGGGAGUACGACCGCAAGGUUGAAACUCAAAGGAAUUGACGGGGGCCCGCACAAGCGGAGGAACAUGUGGUUUAAUUUGAUGCAACGCGAAGAACCUUACCAGGUCUUGACAGUGUAAAGAAUACUUAAGAGAUU